AACGAACGCUGGCGGCAUGCCUAACACAUGCAAGUCGAACGAGACCUUCGGGUCUUGUGGCGCCCGGGUGCGUCACGCGUGGGAACCUGCCCUUAGGUUCGGCCUACCUCCCCGACAGGGGUGCUAAUACCGGAUAAUGUCUUCGGACCAAAGAUUUAUCGCCUUUGGAUGGGCCCGCGUUGGAUUAGCUCGUUGGUAGGGUAAAAGCCUACCACGGCGACGAUCCAUAGCUGGUCUGAGAGGAUGAUCAGCCACACUGGGACUGAGACACGGCCGAGAAUCCUACGGGAGGGAGCAGUGGGGAAUAGUGGAAAAUGGGGGAAAGCAUGAUCCAGCAAGGCCGCGUGAGUGAUGAAGGCCUGAGGGUUGUAAAGCGCUUUUACCCGGGAUGAUAAUGACAGUACCGGGAGAAUAAGCUCCGGCUAACUCCGUG
rnacentral:rRNA from 1 species